UAAAUACACCAACAAUAUGAAUAUUGCCUUGAUAGUUUUUAUAACGCUCUUUGCGUCUUCGUUCGAAGUAGAACAAAAUGGAUGUCGAAAAGUUCAGCAUGAAAUCGGCGAUAAAAUAGUUGAAUGCUUAACUGCUAACUGUGAGCACGAAGACGAAGAUUCGAUUUCUAUCGAAUUUGAUGCUUUUAUGGAAUCGCUGUACGACUAUGUUAAAAUAAAUAAUAAUAAUAUCAAAAAUAUAAGGAAACUAUAUGAGAAUUAUCACCAAAUAAUCGAUGAUGUUCGAUGCAAAAACGGUAUUAAUAUAAAACAGUUCCAAGUACUAAUGAAAAUAAUACGAAUUUGCAUGCGUUCCGAUAUAAUUCAAGAGAUAUUUGAUAAUAACAGUUGUACACAACUAUAUUAAACACAUUUAUUUAAAAGACGGCGUUACACGGCACAAACGUUUGAAUUUGUACAAGUUUCUAUAUAUUUAAAAUUAAAUAUAUGUAAAUAAGAAAAUAAAUUAUAUUUUUUGGUUA